UCAGAUUGAACGCUGGCGGCAGGCCUAACACAUGCAAGUCGAGCGGUAGCACAGAGAGCUUGCUCUCGGGUGACGAGCGGCGGACGGGUGAGUAAUGUCUGGGAAACUGCCUGAUGGAGGGGGAUAACUACUGGAAACGGUAGCUAAUACCGCAUAACGUCGCAAGACCAAAGUGGGGGACCUUCGGGCCUCAUGCCAUCAGAUGUGCCCAGAUGGGAUUAGCUAGUAGGUGGGGUAACGGCUCACCUAGGCGACGAUCCCUAGCUGGUCUGAGAGGAUGACCAGCCACACUGGAACUGAGACACGGUCCAGACUCCUACGGGAGGCAGCAGUGGGGAAUAUUGCACAAUGGGCGCAAGCCUGAUGCAGCCAUGCCGCGUGUGUGAAGAAGGCCUUCGGGUUGUAAAGCACUUUCAGCGGGGAGGAAGGCGAUGAGGUUAAUAACCUCAUCGAUUGACGUUACCCUGCAGAAGAAGCACCGGCUAACUCCGUGCCAGCAGCCGCGGUAAUACGGAGGGUGCAAGCGUUAAUCGGAAUUACUGGGCGUAAAGCGCACGCAGGCGGUCUGUCAAGUCGGAUGUGAAAUCCCCGGGCUCAACCUGGGAACUGCAUUCGAAACUGGCAGGCUAGAGUCUUGUAGAGGGGGGUAGAAUUCCAGGUGUAGCGGUGAAAUGCGUAGAGAUCUGGAGGAAUACCGGUGGCGAAGGCGGCCCCCUGGACAAAGACUGACGCUCAGGUGCGAAAGCGUGGGGAGCAAACAGGAUUAGAUACCCUGGUAGUCCACGCCGUAAACGAUGUCGAUUUGGAGGUUGUGCCCUUGAGGCGUGGCUUCCGGAGCUAACGCGUUAAAUCGACCGCCUGGGGAGUACGGCCGCAAGGUUAAAACUCAAAUGAAUUGACGGGGGCCCGCACAAGCGGUGGAGCAUGUGGUUUAAUUCGAUGCAACGCGAAGAACCUUACCUGGUCUUGACAUCCACAGAACUUUCCAGAGAUGGAUUGGUGCCUUCGGGAACUGUGAGACAGGUGCUGCAUGGCUGUCGUCAGCUCGUGUUGUG
rnacentral:rRNA from 1 species